rnacentral:rRNA from 1 species
UUCCCGGGCCUUGUACACACCGCCCGUCACACCAUGAGAGUUGGAGAUACCCGAAGCCUAUGAGCUAACAUAUAGAGGCAGCAGUCGAAGGUAGAAUCAAUGAUUGGGGUGAAGUCGUAACAAGGUAUC